UGGCUGGUGUUCGCACUGCUAAUCACUUGUUCGCAAGGUGCAGAGAUGAACUUUAAGCUACUGAUUCUGCUGCUGGUGGCCGUGUUUGGCGCCAUCUCGGCAAUCAGACCCUACGGCCGCUUUUACCCAGACUUUGGACGACGCUACGGGGGUCGUGUCCGCUGUAUCCCGGGCCAUGGCCACUGGUGCGGUGGUUGUCGCGGCUAAACCGAAGGCUUUGCAGAAGGCUGCAGAGGUCGUGGCCACGGUGGCUAAGGUCGCCACUAUCGACACAGGAGAUGGCGUAGGAGAGCCGUCGGUGGGGAGAUUUCGUUCACGUCUCCCUGCGGUGUGACCCGACCCUGACCCGUACAAUGAUCGCUGUCUGAACUGACCACUGUCCGCCUGACUCUGAUCGUUACGUGGAGCUGCUUUUCUGCUGCAAAAUAACUCUGCACACACACCGUCUCGUUUAAGCAACAAAGGAGGUAUGACUUGAUCACACUGCGGCAAAUGUCAACGUUCGUGUGCCUCGCGGAAAACACCGCAGUGUUGAAGCAAAGAACGCAGACUAAGGCUUUGCAUGAACGAGCUGCAUGAACGCCACGGCCGGUCACCCUUUCAGGCGUGCCUGGUCGUAGUGUGGGGUGCGAUGUUUUGUUAAUACACUAGCCAGCUUGC
rnacentral:lncRNA from 1 species